rnacentral:sRNA from 1 species
GGGCUUCUGCUCUUCUCGUUGUAACGGGGUUACAUUCCAGUGGCCUUAAGCAAAUCCGAGGGAGCUGGCUCUGUCUGAGCCCUGGUUCAGUUAUCUGGCGCCCACCUGUAAAUACAGGUCCUCGGGAAUAAAUCCCAUACGGUCGCUGCGGUUCCCGC